GUCCCUCUGGUGCAGUGGUUCUUAACAGUUCAACAGUUCUAUCUCAAAAUUGUGAAAUGUUUAGGACCACUUGACCAGAG
rnacentral:pre_miRNA from 8 species